rnacentral:rRNA from 1 species
GACGAACGCUGGCGGCGUGCUUAACACAUGCAAGUCGAACGGAAAGGCCCUGCUUGCCGGGUGCUCGAGUGGCGAACGGGUGAGUAACACGUGGGUGAUCUGCCCCUUACUUUGGGAUAAGCCUGGGAAACUGGGUCUAAUACUGGAUAGGACCAUGCUGUAGGUGGUGUGGUGGAAAGAUUAGUUUCGGUAAGGGAUGAGCUCGCGGCCUAUCAGCUUGUUGGUGGGGUAAUGGCCUACCAAGGCGUCGACGGGUAGCCGGCCUGAGAGGGUGGACGGCCACAUUGGGACUGAGAUACGGCCCAGACUCCUACGGGAGGCUGCAGUGGGGAAUAUUGCACAAUGGGCGCAAGCCUGAUGCAGCGACGCCGCGUGGGGGAUGACGGCCUUCGGGUUGUAAACUCCUUUCAGCCAUGACGAAGCCCUUGUGGUGACGGUAGUGGUAGAAGAAGCACCGGCUAACUACGUG